AACAAACAUCAUUUGACAUCGAGUUUCUAAUUAAAUCAUGGCUGCAACUGGGCAGCGUUAUUAUAAUAGUGAAGGUGGACGUGCUGCUACUUCCCUCAUUCCCAACAUGAAUCAAAUACCUGCAUUGAGUAAUGCAAGAGUGAGAUGAUACAUCUCAGCAAGCAAAUUAUUUUGACGAGAUAUUUAAACCACAAAUUGAAUUAAACAACAUUUUAAAGGAAUCCCAAUUGAGAUCAGAAAUACUUGUAGAUAUAGAACUCAAUAGUCCCAAUAUAACCAAUACCAUCUCAUUUCCUCGAACAACCACAAUAGGUUGUAUAACCCUUCCCUGCAUCAACAAUACCUGCAGAUAUCACUUCAAUGUAUGCAUAGGAAUGCAAUGUGUAGGUCAUCUGCCCUCAUACCUCUGAGAGUAUAAAACCACAUCAUCUGCUAAUAUCACUUCAAUGAAUGCAUAUAAAUGCAAUGCAUAUGUCCUCUGCCUUCAUACCUCUAAGGGUAUGAAGCCGCAUCGUACCCCUCCUCGGGCAAUGUACGAUGCUAAGUUGUACCGGUACGGUCGGACCAUAGGUCACGACCAAACUUCAGAUGCAAAUGAAUAAUGUAAUGCAUAUGGCAUGCUGCAUUUAUCAAUAUACUUCACUUCCUUCAGAUACAAAACAAACCUCAAAUAAUACUUCAUCUGCCUUCAGAUACAAUACAAAUCUCAAAUAAUACUUUAUCUGCCUUCAGGGGUGUAAAUUAAUCUCAUGGGUCAUACUCGAACCAUAAUCAUCAUCAAUUUAUGAUUGAGCAUCAGUAUAAUACAAGCAACUAAAGCAUCACCAUAGAGUUCAAUUAUGAAAGAAUUCCAUAAUUCUGAAUAUUAGAGCGUAGGCGAUAAAAAAACAACAAGUCAAAACGGUAGCAACCACUGCUACAUUCACUUGCCUUCAUCAAAGAAGAAAGAUGUACUAGGCAUGAUCCGGAGUGUAGCCACCUGCUAGCGGGCAUAAAAAUUAGUACAAAUAUUUCACAAACAUUUGCUAACAAUCAACAAAUCGCUCGUACACUUGAAACCAAAUCCCGGUGGAAAGACUCCCACCCUGAACCACAUGCCAAACAGCAGCAGCGCUGUUUGUUAAUUUUGUAUCUUUAAAAUUAUAACAGUGGUGAUAUUAAACAAAUACUCUAUGAGUGUCUACACAAAAUAUUCUAUAACUUCGGUAUUCAAUGGAUAAUUAAAUUCUGCCAUCUAUAAGUUCUAAAACAUCUCAUAAGAUAAAUGUCUGAAUCUGUUUCAGAUAGCAGCAUAGUUAACUUAAAAAUUCAAUAUCUACCAAACUACUCAACCAAAAAUUAUGAAAUUCUGCUGGAAGUAAGAACUUUUAUCCCUCUACAAAUGUCUCCAUAGUUGGAACAGCCAAUUUGGCUAUUUACUAUAUGAAACGCACCAGUGAACAGACCCGCUCAUUUUUGUCAGGCAAACAGGAACAGCCACAGUAAAACAAACAUAACUAGACUUUCAUAAUUCAUAUGAAUGCGCUCUUUAACAAUAUGGAAAGCUUAUGAAAUUGUCUACAACUUCUUUUACAAUCCUAAAGUUUAAUUCUGUUGAUAAAAUUGCCUAAAGCUUAAGAGAACAGAUUCUGUACAGAAUUAUGAGACUGAAAAACUGCUAUAAUCAAACUGCAAUAACUUUCUGAUCUGAUAUCCGAUUGAGGUGUUCUUCGCGGCCACGGAAAGAUCUACAAAUUAUCUACGACUCAUAGAUAGACUUUUUAUUUUUUUGAGGCCACUAAGACUACGGAAAACUGGCAUGAACAGAAACUAUUGAAUCUGCCAUUCUGCAGAAACUAAUAUCGAGAUUAAAAUCUAAUCUCCCAUCCAAUCUAACCAAAAAAACUAAUUGCAGGGCCUAAAACUCAUCCAAAACAAGGGAAAGCAUUCAUCAAGUGGAUAAAAGAGAGAGAGGAAAGGAAAUCCAACCAAUUCUUGGAGAGGAACGACGAUGAUGGGCGACGGUAUGCCCUCAUCUCCCCUCUCUUCUCUUCUUUUUUUCUUCCUCUCUUCUCUUGGGGCAAGGCACAAAAGGGUGACGGCUG
rnacentral:lncRNA from 1 species